CCCCAUCCCGGCUUCACGUUCAAGGUUUAGCUGCGAGGUCACGUCCAUUGACGUCAGCUCCCCGUCUCCCUCUACGUCCGGCUACAUUUACAUACAUCAAGGAAAUUAGGGCAUUAAAAAAAUAUGCAAAUCCUGCGCGAAGAGGAGCCGGUGCAUUCCUGGCGCGAUCGCCUUUUAUUGAAGCUUUUAAUUAAAGGGGCCAGUUGGCGAGCCCAUGAAACAACCGCCAAAACCCCCAAAAGAGAAAAAUAAAUGCUGUAGCCUUCGGGAACGGUUGUUUCGGUUCCUGUUCUGUGGGCGGCUGAGGACCGCCGGCUGCCCGGCUCGGAGAAGAACAGGCUGGGGACAUGGGAAAUUUGAAAAAACAAUAUUUGGUGAUUUGGACUAGUAAAGCACUUAAUCUGGACAAGUGUACGACCCUGAAGGCUGGCUCUGCUGCUCACACAGAACUUCCAAAACCAGGACUCCUUCCCAGGAACUAAAAUGAAGGGGCGAUGCCUCCACUAAAACACGGAUUCACCGAAACACAGGGACAGCCAUCUAAGGCGAAGACCAAAAGGGUUCUUUAGGUCUGAUGGUUAGCCCCUGCUAAUAGAACAUGGAUAUCUUCAGGAAUCCAUUUCUCAUAAUUCAAAUAUCCUGCCUGUGACAGGGAGAGCUGGGGAGGGAAUCGGUGGCACCUGGGCAGAGGCAGAAAGCCAUCUGCUGGCUUCCUCCACCACCUCUGGUCAGAGAAGAGAAUCAACGAGGUGAUGCAGCAAUCCUUUCUGGAAACCAGACCUUUGUUUUCUGCAGCUCUCUAAAGGAGACAGUCAACCUCCUUGUCAUUGUUACCAUUAUCAUCACAGUAACACACAAAUACCUAUGACCCCAGGACAAAUGAUAGACCCUGUGUCUACCCAGCGGGACGCAAUGACCAGGCCUCAGUCCUCAGAGGCCUUGCUGUUUCUCUGUGUUAAUUCAGCACAUACACAUGCAAAACUUAUGAACAGCCUGGGGCAAGGUGCCCGCGGAGCAAUCCAGGUUAAGUGUUACUGAGGGAAGGGAUUAACCGAUGAAGUUUCAUGUAAGAGGCAGGAAUUGAUGUGGGUCUUGAAAAAAGAGAAGAGAUAGUAAAAUACACUGGGCUUGUGAUUGGGCCCUGGGCAAGGGCCAAGGUGGGAAUUUCCAGAGCAGUCAGGGUCACACCUGGUUAGAAGGGAAACCAUGAAAGAAGAGGAAUGUUGGGGUCUCUGGAGGGACUUGAAGGUUGGACUGUGGAGACCUUGAAUUCCAAGCUAGCAGGUCUUGGGUUUAGAUGGUGGAAAUGCAGAUCUAUGAGGGUUGUGGAGCAGAGGGAACUCAGACCUCUCAGUGGACAGAAAGAUGUAUUGGGAUAUCCUGUAAUUAGGAAGGCCUGGAAGCAUGGACCAGUCUGGAAACUACUGUGAUAGUCUGAGCUAGAGGUGACCAAGAACUGGGAAGGCAAAGUGCAGGUAUAUUUCAGGGGGUAUUUAUGGGAACACAUUGUGAAUUAGAUUCUAUUGGAGGCACACUGCGUAGAGCACAAUUGUUCUUCAUAUCCAUUCAUUUACCUGUCUCAUUUUAUGCAAGAAUAAACAGGCUGAAUAUAUAACAAAUAACUACAAGAUUAAAUCUGUCAAUUGGAUUAUGCAUUAAAUCCUCACAUUACUGAAGAAAAAGAAAACCCAAAAUAAACCGAAUGAAAUACCCUCUAAAUAGGCUCCGAGUUACAUAGUAGUUGUUUAAAAAUUAUUGGUUGAAUUUGAAUGUAAAUUACUCUUCUAUAAUAAACUUCAAGAAAUUUAGCUAAAUUUUCUAAAGCCUGCUAAAUAUGUCCCAAGCCAAAAUUUUCUUUUACAGUGAAUUUGGACAGCUUUCUGUGGCAAAACUUGUUCUAUGAAACAAAUACAUUUACCUUUUAUCACCAGGAGAAUUACAAAAAGUCUGUUCAUAGAGAAAUGCUUGAUAAAAUGGAAUGCUCAGAGGAAUUUUAUAUUUAAUGUGUUUUACUGAAUCAUUAUUGGGAACACGCUAGGAUUUUCAUUUUAAUUAAUAGAUUCUAUUGGAUAAAAAGAGAAUGAGAAAACCAAGACAAAACUACACUGUGCUUUCCUGUCAGCUGAAGUCCACACGGAGAUACCAAAUACAUAUGCCACUUAUCUAUUAAGUCUGCGUGAGACCUGGUUUAAACAAACAAUCAAAUGGAAAAUUAGCUGGGUAAUUUCAAAAGAAGGGGGGUUGGGGGAGUCAGUUAAGCAGUGCAGUGAAGCUUGACUAGAUCAGAAGAAACUAAAACCCCGGCUUGGUAGACGCUGAUACUGGUUUGCAUGGAGGAGUUAUUUUGCUAAAAGGAAGUAAAACCACUUCAUGAAAUGUGUUGUCCUGUGAUAUGAUGAGCACUGGGCUAGCGUUCGAAAAAAUGGAAAUGCUUCACAGAGCCUCUGAGAAAAGGUUGUGUGUGUGUU